GCUUCCACGGGCAGCGGUGGUGGAUCUGAAUCAAAAGAUCCUGAACAGCCUCCAUCUUCUCUCCACGUCUCAUGAUGUUUCUUGCUGGCCCAGCUCUGAGGAGUUCUGUUUUCUCUGAGUAGAGGCUGCAUCAACCCUGCAGACACGGGCUGCAACAUGGGCUCCUUCAAACACACCGAUGACGCAAGAUGACAACAGGUGUGCCGUGGAGCUCCUGCAGGUUCCAUCGCAGAUGGCUGCCCUAAAGCAAAUGUCCUAUAAAGCUGGUCACACACCUUUUUGGCAAAGAGACACGACGCUUCCCCUAGACGGGUGGCAUCACUGUGACAAGGCCCGCAGGUUGAAACCCCCAGACGCUCCACAGGGAGCAUUCUCACGUAAAGUAGUAUGGUCUCAGACCCACCGCAGGGCAGGUCGGCCCGGCCCUGUCCUAUAAGGUGGCUGUGAGUCGGAUUCUCCACUCGAUGGCAGGGAGUUGAGCGAGGGUCUACCUGUGAAGCCUGCGAUAGCUCUCUCAGGGAAUGUUUGAAAGAUGGGGAGACCGGCCAACAUGGGACACGGGUCAUGAGCACGCGCUGCUGCAAAAAUGGUGCCCAUGGGCUUGCUGGGCGCAGGGGAGCCACAAACCGUCCGUCUGUAGGACAUCAAACAGUACCUGUGAAGCCUAACAAAACCAGGAUCUUCCAGAAAGAACUGGAAAACCACAAAUUCGAAAAGAACGCUAACACUCCAUGACCUCAUCUCUGAACCAGAUAGCAGGUUAGUCUGCUUAGAGAAGAAGGCCUGCUGGGGGAAGGGUCGGAUCCUUCGAGAACUGUCUGUGACCAGUCGGAAACAGCAAUAGACGAGAAGCUCAGAGGGCAGGGAAGUGUGUGCACCCAGUGGUGCAUCACUGGGAGAAGGCUGUUGAGACAGGUGACCUUUCCUGAGGAAAGGCACCCCCAGCGAAAGGACGAUGUCGCUGAAAUGAACUGCUGAACGGCGUGUUUGGCUGUGUGUCUGUUCACACGCACACACUCUCCGCAUUCAUUAAAAAAUAAGAACAAA